rnacentral:tRNA from 1 species
AAUGAUAUAUUUUAAAGAGAAUAACUGUUUUACACAUAGUAGGUGAUUAUACUGUCUUUCAUUA